AGGGGUAUAGCUCAACUUGAUAGAGCAUCGGUCUCCAAAACCGAAGGUUGAGAGUUUAAGUCUCUCUGCCCCUG
rnacentral:tRNA from 1 species